rnacentral:rRNA from 1 species
GACGAACGCUGGCGGCGUGCCUAAUACAUGCAAGUCGAGCGAAGUUUUUCUGGUGCUUGCACUAGAAAAACUUAGCGGCGAACGGGUGAGUAACACGUAAAGAACCUGCCUCAUAGACUGGGACAACUAUUGGAAACGAUAGCUAAUACCGGAUAACAGUAUUUCUCGCAUGAGAGAUAUUUAAAAGUUGGUUAUGCUAACACUAUGAGGUGGCUUUGCGGUGCAUUAGCUAGUUGGUGGGGUAAAGGCCCACCAAGGCGACGAUGCAUAGCCGACCUGAGAGGGUGAUCGGCCACACUGGGACUGAGACACGGCCCAGACUCCUACGGGAGGCAGCAGUAGGGAAUCUUCCGCAAAGGGCGAAAGCCUGACGGAGCAACGCCGCGUGAGUGAAGAAGGAUUUCGGUUCGUAAAGCUCUGUUGUUAGGGAAGAAUGGAUAUGUAGUAACUAUACAUGUAAGAGACGGUACCUAACCAGAAAGCCACGGCUAACUACGUG